rnacentral:rRNA from 1 species
AUUGAACGCUGGCGGCAGGCCUAACACAUGCAAGUCGAACGGAGUGGCGGACGGGUGAGUAAUGCCUAGGAAACUGCCUGGUAGAGGGGGAUAACGACUGGAAACGGGCGCUAAUACCGCAUACUAUCAGAUGAGCCUAGGUCGGAUUAGCUAGUUGGUGGGGUAAAGGCUCACCUGGGCGACGAUCCCUAGCUGGUCUGCGAGGAUGAUCAGCCAACCUGGAACUGAGACACGGUCCAGACUCCUACGGGAGGCAGCAGUGGGGAAUAUUGGACAAGGGGCGAAAGCCUGAUGCAGCCAUGCUGCGUGUGUGAAGAAGGCCUUCGGAUUGUAAAGCACUUUAAGUUGGGAGGCGUUACCAACAGAAUAAGCACCGGCUAACUCCGUGCCAGCAGCCGCGGUAAUAC